CCGGUUACUUUUGCUUCAAGAUCGGGAGUUGGCGUCUAUCUACUUUAUUGUUUGGCUGACUACAGUGUUUCUCUGGUGGACCGGGGGUAAGGGGGCCCGUCUGGUUUGGUCCUGGAGUCUGGUGGGCCGAUCGCCUUUGAUUCGAGAUCGGGAGUCAGUUCUUUGAUUCAAGUUUGUUUUUGGGCUUUAUUGGUGUUCUUUUGGUGGACCGGAGGUCAAAGGUGGUAGAAGCUGAUUGAUCUUUAGAAUAGUGGCUCAACUUAAGUGACGACGUAGGGGUAAUUUAUUUAGAGGGGUGUUAUUUUGGGUUGUCUAGUGGCGAUUGGUGGUUAUGGAUAACGUUUUUCAGUGGUCAUUUCUUAAAGGACUCUAUUUUAGGUGGUG
rnacentral:lncRNA from 1 species